rnacentral:misc_RNA from 1 species
GAUGUGCAAAAGAUGUGAGACCAUGAGGGCAAAAUUAAGAGUUCUGGAACAUGUUCUCCUACUUGAUACUUAUACCCCAGAAACUAUUCCCGCCCUUCACAAAAUAAGGAAGUAUUUGAUUGAAGCAACAGAAGAAGCAUCACUUGCAUAUGAGAAAGCGGCGUCCCGUCUUCGUGAGUAUCAAGGCGUUGAUCCUCAUUUUGAUGAAAUUGCUAGGCAGUACCAUGACAUUGUAAAGAAAUUGGAGAGCAUGCAGUGGACCAUUAACCAAGUUGAAAUGGACUUGAAUCCUUUGCCUGCUCACUCCAGCACCUAAGCCAUCUCUCUUCAUAUUCUUCAUAAAGGUUCAUGUAAUAUCCAUAUGUAGUUAUGGUUGUUUCUAAUUAUUUAUUUUUUUCAACACACUACUUUAAACAACCUCAUAAUCGCUGCCCCCCA